rnacentral:rRNA from 1 species
CCUACGGGUGGCAGCAGUAGGGAAUCUUCCACAAUGGGCGAGAGCCUGAUGGAGCAACGCCGCGUGGGUGAAGAAGGUCUUCGGAUCGUAAAACCCUGUUGUUCGAGAAGCAAGUGCGUGAGAGUAACUGUUCACGUUUCGACGGUAUCUAACCAGAAAGCCACGGCUAACUACGUGCCAGCAGCCGCGGUAAUACGUAGGUGGCAAGCGUUGUCCGGAUUUAUUGGGCGUGAAGGGAACGCAGGCGGUCUUUUAAGUCUGAUGUGAAAGCCUUCGGCUGAAACGGAGUAGUGCAUUGGAAACUGGGAGACUCGAGUGCAGAAGAGGAGAGUGGAACGCGAGGUGUAGCGGGGAAAUGCGUAGAUAUAUGGAAGAACACCAGUGGCGAAAGCGGCUCUCUGGUCCGUAACUGACGCUGAGGUUCGAAAGCGUGGGUAGCAAACAGGAUUAGAUACCCGAGUAGUC